rnacentral:misc_RNA from 1 species
GUGAAUCAUCAAAUUUUUGAACGCAUAUCGCACUCUCUGGUAUUCCGGAGAGUAUGCCUGUUUGAGGGUAAUUAAAAAGAAUCUGUAACCAAUUUUUUUUGGUCAUAGGAAAUGAGUUUUCCGCUUUCAUAGCGGUCGCUGGAAAUAAAUGGUCAAGUAUCAUUUUAGUCGAGACGCGUAAUAAUAUUAUUUUGCUAAAUCUUCAUUAUAUGACGAUCAAGUUUUUAUGCAUACAAAUUUGGGUUGUUGUAGAUCAAUACAAAUAUUUUUGAA